UGGGGAAUAUUGGACAAUGGGGGGAACCCUGAUCCAGCGAUGCCGCGUGGGUGAAGAAGGCCUUCGGGUUGUAAAGCCCUUUAGGUUGGGAAGAAGUGUAGUAGUUGAUAAAGCUAUUAUAUUGACGGUACCGACAGAAUAAGCACCGGCAAACUCUGUGCCAGCAGCCGCGGUAAUACAGAGGGUGCGAGCGUUAAUCGGAGUUACUGGGCGUAAAGGGCGCGUAGGCGGUUAUAUGGGAGUGAUGUGAAAGCCCUGGGCUUAACCUAGGAAGUGCAUCGCUAACUAUAUAGCUGGAGUACAAGAGAGGGUGGCGGAAUUUCCGGUGUAGCGGUGAAAUGCGUAGAUAUCGGAAGGAACGUCGAUGGCGAAGGCAGCCACCUGGCUUGAUACUGACGCUGAGGCGCGAAAGCGUGGGGAGCGAACAG
rnacentral:rRNA from 1 species